GAUGAACGCUGGCGGCGUGCUUAACACAUGCAAGUCGGGCGAAGCACUUUGCUUUGAUUUCUUCGGGAUGAAGAGCUUAGUGACUGAGCGGCGGACGGGUGAGUAACGCGUGGGUAACCCGCCUCAUACAGGGGGAUAACAGUUAGAAAUGACUGCUAAUACCGCAUAAGGCCACAGCACCGCAUGGUGCAGGGGUAAAAACUCCGGUGGUAUGAGAUGGACCCGCGUCUGAUUAGGUAGUUGGCGGGGUAACGGCCCACCAAGCCGACGAUCAGUAGCCGACCUGAGAGGGUGACCGGCCACAUUGGGACUGAGACACGGCCCAAACUCCUACGGGAGGCAGCAGUGGGGAAUAUUGCACAAUGGGGGAAACCCUGAUGCAGCGACGCCGCGUGAGCGAAGAAGUAUUUCGGUAUGUAAAGCUCUAUCAGCAGGGAAGAAAAUGACGGUACCUGACUAAGAAGCCCCGGCUAACUACGUGCCAGCCGCCGCCGUAA
rnacentral:rRNA from 1 species